rnacentral:rRNA from 1 species
UGGAGGUAUCAGAAGUGCGAAUGCUGACAUAAGUAACGAUAAGGGGAGUGAAAAACUUCCCCGCCGGAAGACCAAGGGUUCCUAUCCCAUGCUAAUCAGGGUAGGGUAAGUCGGCCCCUAAGGCGAGGGCGAAAGCCGUAGUCGAUGGGAAACGGGUUAAUAUUCCCGUACCGACAAUACUGCGAUGGGGGGACGGAGAAAGCUAGGCAGGCAUGGCGUUGGUAGUCCAUGUGAAAGUGCGUAGGAAGGGGGAUUAGGCAAAUCCGGUUCCCUAUAUUCUGAGACACGAGACGAGCCACUACGGUGGUGAAGCUGUUGACGCUACGCUUCCAGGAAAAUCCUCUAAGCUUCAGGUAUUGUCGACCGUACUCGAAACCGACACAGGUGGUCAGGUAGAGCAUACCAAGGCGCUU